AAGUGGAGCAAUCCAUGAGUACAGUGGCGUACGGGUGAGUAACACGUGACUAACCUACCCUCGAGUGGGGAAUAACCUCGGGAAACCGGGGCUAAUACCGCAUAACAUCUUCGGAUCAAAUGCGUAAGCAGCUUGAGGAGGGGGUCGCGGCCGAUUAGCUAGUUGGCGGGGUAAUGGCCCACCAAGGCAAUGAUCGGUAGCCGGCCUGAGAGGGCGCACGGCCACACUGGAACUGAAACACGGUCCAGACUCCUACGGGAGGCAGCAGUGGGGAAUUUUGCGCAAUGGGGGAAACCCUGACGCAGCAACGCCGCGUGGAGGAUGAAGCCCCUUGGG
rnacentral:rRNA from 1 species